AGUGAACGCUGGCGGUAGGCCUAACACAUGCAAGUCGAACGGCAGCACAGAGGAGCUUGCUCCUUGGGUGGCGAGUGGCGGACGGGUGAGGAAUACAUCGGAAUCUACUCUGGCGUGGGGGAUAACGUAGGGAAACUUACGCUAAUACCGCAUACGACCUACGGGUGAAAGCAGGGGAUCUUCGGACCUUGCGCGAGUGAAUGAGCCGAUGUCGGAUUAGCUAGUUGGCGGGGUAAAGGCCCACCAAGGCGACGAUCCGUAGCUGGUCUGAGAGGAUGAUCAGCCACACUGGAACUGAGACACGGUCCAGACUCCUACGGGAGGCAGCAGUGGGGAAAAUUGGACAAUGGGCGCAAGCCUGAUCCAGCCAUACCGCGUGGGUGAAGAAGGCCUUCGGGUUGUAAAGCCCUUUUGUUGGGAAAGAAAUCCAUCUGGUUAAUACCCGGGUGGGAUGACGGUACCCAAAGAAUAAGCACCGGCUAACUUCGUGCCAGCCGCCGCAGUAA
rnacentral:rRNA from 1 species